rnacentral:rRNA from 1 species
AGUGAACGCUGGCGGUAGGCCUAACACAUGCAAGUCGAACGGCAGCACAGUAGGAGCUUGCUCUUACGGGUGGCGAGUGGCGGACGGGUGAGGAAUACAUCGGAAUCUACUUUUUCGUGGGGGAUAACGUAGGGAAACUUACGCUAAUACCGCAUACGACCUACGGGUGAAAGCAGGGGAUCUUCGGACCUUGCGCGAUUGAAUGAGCCGAUGUCGGAUUAGCUAGUUGGCGGGGUAAAGGCCCACCAAGGCGACGAUCCGUAGCUGGUCUGAGAGGAUGAUCAGCCACACUGGAACUGAGACACGGUCCAGACUCCUACGGAAGGCAGCAGUGGGGAAUAUUGGACAAUGGGCGCAAGCCUGAUCCAGCCAUACCGCGUGGGUGAAGAAGGCCUUCGGGUUGUAAAGCCCUUUUGUUGGGAAAGAAAAGCAGCAGGUUAAUACCCCGCUGUUCUGACGGUACCCAAAGAAUAAGCACCGGCUAACUUCGUG